GAUGAACGCUGGCGGCGUGCCUAAUACAUGCAAGUCGAGCGAACAGACGAGGAGCUUGCUCCUCUGACGUUAGCGGCGGACGGGUGAGUAACACGUGGAUAACCUACCUAUAAGACUGGGAUAACUUCGGGAAACCGGAGCUAAUACCGGAUAAUCUAUUGAACCGCAUGGUUCAAUAGUGAAAGACGGUUUUGCUGUCACUUAUAGAUGGAUCCUCGCCGCAUUAGCUAGUUGGUAAGGUAACGGCUUACCAAGGCAACGAUGCGUAGCCGACCUGAGAGGGUGAUCGGCCACACUGGAACUGAGACACGGUCCAGACUCCUACGGGAGGCAGCAGUAGGGAAUCUUCCGCAAUGGGCGAAAGCUUGACGGAGCAACGCCGCGUGAGUGAUGAAGGUCUUCGGAUCGUAAAACUCUGUUAUUAGGGAAGAACAAAUGUGUAAGUAACUAUGCACGUCUUGACGGUACCUAAUCAGAAAGCCACGGCUAACUACGUG
rnacentral:rRNA from 1 species